AUUGAACGCUGGCGGCAGGCCUAACACAUGCAAGUCGAACGAGUGGCGGACGGGUGAGUAAUGUCUGGGAAACUGCCUGAUGGAGGGGGAUAACUACUUGAAACGGUAGCUAAUACCGCAUACCAUCGGAUGUGCCCAGAUGGGAUUAGCUAGUAGGUGGGGUAAAGGCUCACCUAGGCGACGAUCCCUAGCUGGUCUGAGAGCAUGACAAGCCAAACUGGAAGUGAGACACGGUCCAGACUCCUACGGGAGGAAGCAGUGGGGAAUAUUGCACAAUGGGCGAAAGCCUGAUGCAGGCAUGCCGCGUGUAUGAAGAAGGCCUUCGGGUUGUAAAGUACUUGCAGCGGGGAGGCGUUACCCGCAGAAGAAGCACCGGCUAACUCCGUGCCAGCAGCCGCGGUAAUAC
rnacentral:rRNA from 1 species